UACGAAGGGUGCAAGCGUUACUCGGAAUUACUGGGCGUAAAGCGUGCGUAGGUGGUUCGUUAAGUCUGAUGUGAAAGCCCUGGGCUCAACCUGGGAAUGGCAUUGGAUACUGGCGACCUAGAGUGCGGUAGAGGGGUGUGGAAUUCCCGGUGUAGCAGUGAAAUGCGUAGAUAUCGGGAGGAACAUCUGUGGCGAAGGCGACACCCUGGACCAGCACUGACACUGAAGAACGAAAGCCAGGGGAGCAAACGGG
rnacentral:rRNA from 1 species